rnacentral:tRNA from 1 species
CGGGGCGUAGCUCAGCCUGGUAGAGCACCACGUUUGGGACGUGGGGGCCGCAGGUUCAAAUCCUGUCGCCCCGACCA